rnacentral:tmRNA from 1 species
UACUGCGAGUCGGGUUCGGCGCAGUGACGAGAUAAAGAGCCACUAGCGUUGGUACGAGCCUGUUUGUGGGCGCAAAUCAAGGCGAAUUUCAAAACACAAACUACACACGUAGACGCCAUUCUGGACCGUUUUCGGACGUGGGUUCGAUUCCCACCGCCUCCACCA